CCGUCGACUUUCGAAAUCGUGAGGGUUCAAGUCCCUCUAUCCCCA
rnacentral:tRNA from 1 species